GCCCAAAUUCGCACGUGCCCGUGGUCGUCCAAUCGAAUUUCGAUGGCAGCAGCUCAACAGGGCCCGGACCCAAUUCCGGAGAGAGCAGCAAAACGGACGGCUUAAAGCAACGACGUAAGAGGGCUUUU
rnacentral:sRNA from 1 species